CCGGAGGGAAUAUAUUUUGCUUCUGCCCUUUGUCAGAAACAACUUCUCAACUUCUCCUCGGGUUUUUCUUUUUCUGUUCUUUUUCCAUCUUCUCCUCGGGUUUUUCUUUGGACAACAAAAUACAUGAGCUUGAAGAAGAGAGGGUAGGAGUUUAUCCUCCGCAACUCGAAGGUACGGUGGGCGCGAGGGCAAGCUUAUAAGGUCUAUUCUAUUGGUCAGUUUGUGAAGAUAGCGGCUCUGGAUGAAUUGGUGUUCACACCAAUAACUGAAUCAACGAGAGGUUGUUUGUUGUCUCCCUAGUGAUUACAUCCUUACAUUUUCCUUGCUUUAUACAAUGGCCUUAGCUUCUUUGUAUGGUAGUACACAUUCACAGCUCAGUAGUUACAUUCAUAACUCUGUAGUUUGUUAUUUCUUCUUGAGUAUGUUGUUCUCUCAGAAAUCAACCUACAACUACUUUGAAAUGCAAUCCACAACGUCCAAAUGAUCAACUGGAGUUUUCAUCCUGUUCAAAGGUAAAUGGAAUUUCGUUUGCUGAUCACAUCAUCUAAUGCAAGGCUUGCGAGCAAGAGGUCAUUUUACCACAAGAUUUUCACAAAGGGCUACCUAGAUAUAUACAUAACACCAUCUCUUUCCCUUGUUAUCGUGAAAGUUGGAUGUUUGAUAUAUUUUAUUUUGGAUUCCAUGAACUUGUAAUACAAUAGUUAUACAAUAAUGAACAUUUUUUGGCUUCUA